UUGUCUACAAUGGCACAUUUGUGAAAAUUGGAAUGAUACACAAAAGCUUAGCAUGGCUUCUGCCCAAGAAAGGACAUGCCAUGUUGGGAAGCAUUCCAUAUUAUU
ensembl:snRNA U6 U6 spliceosomal RNA